GUGCCAGCAGCCGCGGUAAGACAGAGGGUGCAAACGUUGUUCGGAAUUACUGGGCGUAAAGCGCGUGUAGGCGGCCAUCUAAGUCGGGCGUGAAAUCCCACGGCUCAACCGUGGAAGUGCACUCGAAACUGGAUGGCUAGAGUCCUGGAGAGGAAGGUGGAAUGCUUGGUGUAGAGGUGAAAUUCGUAGAUAUCAAGCGGAACACCGGUGGCGAAGGCGGCCUUCUGGACAGUGACUGACGCUGAGACGCGAAAGCGUGGGGAGCAAACAGGAUUAGAUACCCGCGUAGUCC
rnacentral:rRNA from 1 species